AAAUGCUCCAAACAUACUCUGCAAUCUUAAAUCAUGAAAUUCUGGAAGCAAUUAAUAUACGUUUUAGAACAGGCCAAAUCAGCUUUUCUCCAGCAUAACCAGGCCCAAGCAGCUGAAGUAUAAGCACAGGAGAGCCUCUCAUGUCCCAUGAAGACUGCAGUAGACUUUAUUGAUGCGGCCUCCGAUUCAAAGAUUUAUUAAUUUAUUGAUUUAUCAGCCAAGGGGAACAGCAAGGCAGUCAAAAGGCAGGUUUUAACAUCGUGAAAAACACUGCAAACGAUAAUGUAACACGCUAAAGAACGAGGCUGCAUUUCCUUUGAAAUGUACAAUGCAGUGCAACGCAUUCGCAAUAUAGCUGGAGGUUUAGUUUUUUUCCCGGCACUCCGUGAACACACUACAAUGCGCGUCAAACAUGAUGAGCUGUGAUAUACACACCACAGGACAGUUUCUCACUUAUUAUUUGCAACGAGGCCCCGCAGUUAUGUCUGAGUUCUCCCCGUGCGUUUGUGAGCUGGAGUCCCACUUUGAAAAGCAUAGAUUAUCCUGGCAUGAGCCGAGGUGGAAUACCAGACGCGAUUUUCUUUGAUAGAUCUUUGAGAAAUCAAGACGAUAAAUAUGUGCAUGCUGCCCCAUGAAAAAUGCAGGCGCACGGGGGGUAAAUAAAGAUGACGGAUCUGCGGGGUCGGAGCGGGGAAGCUGAAUAUCUCCUCAGCGCUAACCCCAGCCGCGCCCCCCUAGUCAACUUACGGUCGCUAUUUUGGCUGAGUAAUGGCCGACUGGUUUACCGGAUACGCGCCCUCUGGGUGAAAGUCAGUCCCGUGGGGAUGGCAGGAGCCCAGAUUUCCCCCGCAGCCGCCAUUUGAAGACAAACUUCCCGCGGUCGGUGGCUGGCGCACAGCUCCACCCAUUGGAGGACCUGAGGAUGGAGGACUGAGGGAAACGUGUAUCAGGCUUGCUUUUUCAGGAGUGAGUUUGACGUCAUGUGAAUUGGAGACGCGGCAGAUGGGGAGGCUGAUAGUCUAGAGCUGAAAUGGGAAUGCUCUUUGCUCCAGCACCAUUGGCUGAAGCGAUUUCACACAGAAAAGCGCUGAAUCCUGCCUCUUGGGGUCAUCGAUAUCAAAGUGCAGUUUUAAGGAACCGCAAACACAAGACCAACUUUUCUGUGUGCGAGGCUUAAAUUCCCCAAUCAGACCAACGCUGGCGGGAGAGGACCAAUGCAGAGACAGAGAGGCUGCGAAUGUCCCGUUUUUGUUUAAUAUACACCUCCUUUCUGUUUCUGUCCCCGCCCCUCUGUCAACUGUGAAUUCAGCGCCACCGCAAUCAAUCAGUUAUUUGUCAGUCCUUGUCAAUCCGCCCUUGAUUUAUGUCCAGGGUUUGUCGCUGAUUACAAGCUUUGUGAGAUUGGGAAAGGAGGAAGGGAAAAACGGUCAUUCUGAAAAGAGUCAUUUGAUUUGUGGAAAUAAAUUGUUUUCGGUGUUAAGUCAGCUGAUCUCGCUAACAAUACCGGACUGGAGAACUGGCUGGGAUGACAGACUAUCUUUAAAUUAAGCAUAAUGAAGUCGGAUUCGCUUCAAACAAAUAACUCGACGUUCUACGAUCAACUAAAUCUUGGCGGUAGCCUCCUAAAUCCAGUUCGCCUUCAUUAUCGAAGCACCGCUUUGACUACGUUGUAACCUACUCCAGGUGUAGGCUACUGGAUCGACCUCAUUUAAAGCAAAAUAAUACAGUGAAAUUACGUGGGACUUUAUGCCACUUUCGCGGUCGAAAAAGUUCGUGGGUUGUCUUUAUAUUAAGAGACCUUAUAGGCACUCUUGAGUUCUUUCUUUUUAACCAGUGCCGGAAGACACAGUUUCAAUGCUGUAAGAGAAGAACGGCUGUUAGCCGCCCCACACUGUGCAUAUAAUAGUAUGCCAUUGCUUUUGUUUUCCCGCUGGCUUGGUGGCCUUAACAAUUUUCAGGAGCAACCAAAGGUCACCUGGAGAUAACGUCUGACACAUGUGGAUUGUGGAAAGAGUUUAGGACUCUGGGAAAGUUCCCGACCUAUUUUAUUUUUAUUGUAUCGUUGGCAUUCCUAAUCGUUUUUUCCUUAUAAAACCUAGAAUGAUGGACUGGGUUUUUUUUCAGAAUUUGUUGCAUUUUGGAGCCAAUUUUUAAUUUUCCACAUUCAUGGUUUAUUUUUAAUCCUAAACGUUUACUGUCUGCAGGAAAAUAAAAAAUAUGUCACUGGUUCAUUUGGAAUUCAUUGCAAGUUACGAAACAGUGUCUUAUAGGACCGGGGAACUUUGGUUUUCACGUUGUGUUUAUUCUGUCUCUUCUGCUAAAGUUAAGUUUAAUCAUUGCUUGUAGGGUGCAGUCACCUCUGGGACGAUGCGAAUUUUCUAAGGUAGCCUAAAUCAAAAUCGCAGCAAAAACCUGUUAAUGUGCUCACGGGAGGUGCUGACCGUCUUCUGUGGGCUCUUUUGGGGAUAAAACACUUCGAUAACGCCGCUAUUAACGGAAUGCCGGAAAGUCGUAGUUACUGAAGCUACUGCACAAACCCGGAUUCACUGCACAGUGGGGAAAAACCCUCCGGCUCUUUUGCGAUUACGUAUUUGCCUUCGACAUCAUAACAGCUCCAUAACAGGUGAAUAGAAAAUUAAUUAACUUGAUUCAUUUUUUUAAAUAAUUAAUGAGCGAUUUUUGUUAUAUUUAAAAUAUAUAUAUAAAAUAAGUUAUUUUAAAUAUAAUGGGAAAAUUUGGAAUGAAAGGAUAAAAAGUGGUCUUCCAGACCUCUGAGAACAGAAGUUUAAAUAUGCCCUGAACUGUUCGCCGUUGAGGUGGUUAAUCAGUAUUGAGGCUUCGGGGCAAUGGGCAGGUUUUCAAAGCGGUAUUCCUUUCAUCUGAAGCUGGAUGGAGGCGCUCAAUUAAAAGUCUAUCAGUUUGUCGCCACGGAGAGCAAGAAAACCUGGAGUGGACAUCUUCUGAAAUAAAUAAAGAAAAAUUUUCCUUCGAAACAUUGGGAAAGUUUAUUUAUUUAUUUGUCGUAUGUGUGCAUUCGUCUUCUAUUUCCGUAUUUCUGUGACGGCUUUGCCAAAGUAUUGUGAAUAAACCACCUUUAUUUUUUAUUGCAUCCAAAAUUGUGGGGGAAAGGCUUCUACAAUAUUACUUUAUAAAAUGAUAAACUUGAGAUAUGCCUUAAACGACGCUAUAAUGCGCCUAGCCAGCGGGAACCCUCUGAGCUGAAAUAAGCCUGCAUGGAAACUUGAACACAAUGUUCACACUGACUGGCUAGCCCCUUCGGUCGGAGUAUUUUUGCUAAUCCAUAGCCUGGAUGCCAUUUUCCAGUACCAGUGCACAUUUUGGUUUUGAAUGUUGGUACUGACCUGCAGUGACAAAUGUGUAUGUGCUAAAAGCAAAAAAUAUCAGGUGUGCAUAUAUACAACUAUAGGCAUUUUGGAAAUCAAGAACAAUACAUUACUAUACUUUGCAGUGUAAUAAAUUGUCCACAUUAACAGUAGGCCUAAAUUGUGUAAAUAAAUGUUUCAAGGCUAA